AUUAAACGCUGGCGGCAUGCCUUACACAUGCAAGUCGAACGGUAGCGCGGGGCAACCUGGCGACGAGUGGCGAACGGGUGAGUAAAGCAUCGGAACGUGCCCUGGAAUGGGGGAUAACGUAGCGAAAGUUACGCUAAUACCGCAUAUUCUGUGAGCAGGAAAGCAGGGAAUCGCAAGACCUUGCGUUCUGGGAGCGGCCGAUGUCGGAUUAGCUAGUUGGUGGGGUAAAAGCCUACCAAGGCGACGAUCCGUAGCGGGUCUGAGAGGAUGAUCCGCCACACUGGGACUGAGACACGGCCCAGACUCCUACGGGAGGCAGCAGUGGGGGAAUUUUGGACAAUGGGCGGAAGCCUGAUCCAGCCAUGCCGCGUGAGUGAAGAAGGCCUC
rnacentral:rRNA from 1 species